rnacentral:rRNA from 1 species
GACGAACGCUGGCGGCGUGCUUAACACAUGCAAGUCGAACGGAAAGGCCCUGCUUUUGUGGGGUGCUCGAGUGGCGAACGUGUGAGUAACACGUGAGUAACCUGCCCUUGACUUUGGUAUAACUUCAGGACACUUGGUCUAAUACCGGAUAGGAGCUCCUGCUGCUUGGUGGGUGUUGGAAAGUUUCGGCGGUUGGGGAUGGACUCUCGGCUUAUCAGCUUGUUGGUGUGGUAGUGGCUUACCAAGGCUUUGACGGGUAGCCGGCCUGAGAGGGUGACCGGCGACAUUGGGACUGAGAUACGGGCCAGACUCCUACGGGAGGCAGAAGUGGGGAAAAUUGCACAAUGGGCGGAAGACUGAUGCAGCAAAGCCGCGUGCGGGAUGACGGGCUUCGGGUUGUAAACCGCGUUCGCCUGUGACGAAGCGUGAGUGACGGUAAUGGGUAAAGAAGCACCGGCUAACUACGUG